rnacentral:rRNA from 1 species
UUAAAUUGAAGAGUUUGAUCAUGGCUCAGAUUGAACGCUGGCGGCAGGCCUAACACAUGCAAGUCGAACGGUAACAGGAAGCAGCUUGCUGCUUUGCUGACGAGUGGCGGACGGGUGAGUAAUGUCUGGGAAACUGCCUGAUGGAGGGGGAUAACUACUGGAAACGGUGGCUAAUACCGCAUAACGUCGCAAGACCAAAGAGGGGGACCUUCGGGCCUCUUGCCAUCAGAUGUGCCCAGAUGGGAUUAGCUUGUUGGUGAGGUAACGGCUCACCAAGGCGACGAUCCCUAGCUGGUCUGAGAGGAUGACCAGCCACACUGGAACUGAGACACGGUCCAGACUCCUACGGGAGGCAGCAGUGGGGAAUAUUGCACAAUGGGCGCAAGCCUGAUGCAGCCAUGCCGCGUGUAUGAAGAAGGCCUUCGGGUUGUAAAGUACUUUCAGCGGGGAGGAAGGUGUUGUGGUUAAUAACCACAGCAAUUGACGUUACCCGCAGAAGAAGCACCGGCUAACUCCGUGCCAGCAGCCGCGGUAAUACGGAGGGUGCAAGCGUUAAUCGGAAUUACUGGGCGUAAAGCGCACGCAGGCGGUCUGUCAAGUCGGAUGUGAAAUCCCCGGGCUCAACCUGGGAACUGCAUUCGAAACUGGCAGGCUUGAGUCUUGUAGAGGGGGGUAGAAUUCCAGGUGUAGCGGUGAAAUGCGUAGAGAUCUGGAGGAAUACCGGUGGCGAAGGCGGCCCCCUGGACAAAGACUGACGCUCAGGUGCGAAAGCGUGGGGAGCAAACAGGAUUAGAUACCCUGGUAGUCCACGCCGUAAACGAUGUCUACUUGGAGGUUGUGCCCUUGAGGCGUGGCUUCCGGAGCUAACGCGUUAAGUAGACCGCCUGGGGAGUACGGCCGCAAGGUUAAAACUCAAAUGAAUUGACGGGGGCCCGCACAAGCGGUGGAGCAUGUGGUUUAAUUCGAUGCAACGCGAAGAACCUUACCUGGUCUUGACAUCCACGGAAGUUUUCAGAGAUGAGAAUGUGCCUUCGGGAACCGUGAGACAGGUGCUGCAUGGCUGUCGUCAGCUCGUGUUGUGAAAUGUUGGGUUAAGUCCCGCAACGAGCGCAACCCUUAUCCUUUGUUGCCAGCGGUCCGGCCGGGAACUCAAAGGAGACUGCCAGUGAUAAACUGGAGGAAGGUGGGGAUGACGUCAAGUCAUCAUGGCCCUUACGACCAGGGCUACACACGUGCUACAAUGGCGCAUACAAAGAGAAGCGACCUCGCGAGAGCAAGCGGACCUCAUAAAGUGCGUCGUAGUCCGGAUUGGAGUCUGCAACUCGACUCCAUGAAGUCGGAAUCGCUAGUAAUCGUGGAUCAGAAUGCCACGGUGAAUACGUUCCCGGGCCUUGUACACACCGCCCGUCACACCAUGGGAGUGGGUUGCAAAAGAAGUAGGUAGCUUAACCUUCGGGAGGGCGCUUACCACUUUGUGAUUCAUGACUGGGGUGAAGUCGUAACAAGGUAACCGUAGGGGAACCUGCGGUUGGAUCACCUCCUUA